rnacentral:antisense_RNA from 1 species
CUUCAACGACCCGAGCCACAAAGGCUCUUCGGCGUCACGAUCCCGGCCGUAAGUCGCCAGCAGCGCCUGCGCCUC